UGGGGGAUAUUGCACAAUGGGCGAAAGCCUGAUGCAGCGACGCCGCGUGGGGGAUGAAGGCUUUCGGGUUGUAAACCUCUUUCGCUAUCGAACAAGGCCCGCUUAGGGUGGGUUGAGGGUAGGUGGAGAAGAAGCGCCGGCUAACUACGUGCCAGCAGCCGCGGUAAUACGUAGGGCGGGAGCGUUGUCCGGAAUUAUUGGGCGUCAAGGGCUUGUAGGCGGCUUGUUGCGCCUGCUGUGAAAACGCGGGGCUUAACUUCGCGCGUGCAGUGGGUACGGGCAGGCUUGAGUGUGGUAGGGGUGACUGGAAUUCCAGGUGUAGCGGUGGAAUGCGCAGAUAUCUGGAGGAACACCGAUGGCGAAGGCAGGUCACUGGGCCAUUACUGACGCUGAGGAGCGAAAGCAUGGGUAGCGAACAGG
rnacentral:rRNA from 1 species